rnacentral:rRNA from 1 species
UACGAAGGGGGCUAGCGUUGUUCGGAAUUACUGGGCGUAAAGGGCGCGUAGGCGGUGUGUCAAGUCAGGCGUGAAAGCCCCGGGCUCAACCUGGGAACUGCGCUUGAGACUGGCACGCUCGAGUUCGGGAGAGGAUGGUGGAAUUCCCAGUGUAAGAGGUGAAAUUCGUGAAGAUAUUGGGAAGAACACCGAUGGCCGAAGGCAGCCAUCUGGACCGACACUGACGCUGA